GUAGCAUGAUUUAGUUUUCUCCAGCCUAUCAGAUAGGUCUGUGAGUAUAGACUUGCCAUUUUUGCAUUUCAUGGGCAGAGGACAACUGCACCAGACGUGUAAGAGCUACUCACCAAGAUGAUCAAAAUUGGAGUGAUUGUGGUACUUCUCAGUUUGAUGUAUGUGACACAAUGCAAUGAUGUUCAGUAUCAAACUCAAGUUCGGGAGGUUCAUCCUGGGGACCCAGUGACACUAUACUGUAUUUUUUCAAAGGAAGAUCUCAAUAUGUUCUGGUACAAACAAAUGGUGGGGCAAAAGCCUCAAACUAUUGUAACAAUGACAAAAUAUGAUAUGCCUGUAUGGCACAAGGACUUUAACCAUUCACGUGUCAAUGUGGAGAAGGCUGAUGCUGAUGGGAUGUAUCGACUUGCUAUUACAAACACGGACCCAACAGAUGAAGCCGUUUACUAUUGUGCAGUGAGAACAGCCUAUGAAGUCAACUUUAUCAAUGGGACUCUUUUACUAUUAAAAGGUAAGAAUCACCAAAGGUCACACUACCAUACCGUGGUGCAGAGGCCAGUGUCUGACCCAGUCCAUCCAGGACACUCUGUGACUCUGCUGUGUACAGUACUCUCUGAGACCUGUACAGGAGAACGCAGUGUGUACUGGUUCAGAGCCAGAUCAGGACAAUCCCAUCCAGGAGUCAUUUACACUUCUGCGAACAAGAGUGAUGAGUGUAAGAAGAGCCCAGAGACUCCCUCUCCUACACAGAGCUGUGUCUACAGCCUCUCCAAGAACAACCUCAGUCUCUCUGAUGCUGGGACUUACUACUGUGCUGUGGCCACAUGUGGGGAGAUCCUGUUUGGCAAUGGAACAAUCCUGAAUAUUAGUAGAAAAAGCAACAGAUCCUGUAAUCAUUGCUCUGGGAGUGACCUCGGCCGUCUGUGUGAUUGGGAUCAUUAUCCUCAUCUGCACCAGACAUACUAGACCAGUUUGUGAACAUUGUAAAGUGGGUGCUUCUCAGCAUAUCGGACAUGACAACUCAACUAGAGAAUCAAGCAGCAAGGAUCAAGAUGCAGAUACCCUGAAUUAUGCUGCAUUGCAUUUCUCUGAGAGGAAAACUAAAAGAGGAAGAACGAAAAGAGAGACACCACAGGAGAGUGUGUACUCUGAUGUCAGGUGUUCAGACUGGGACUGAACGGCAGUGCAGAGGAAUACAUUUGUCAAAAAUAUUUUUUUAAAUUGCUAUUAUAUACUUUAUCAAGACAAAAAGCAACACUCUUUUUGUAUCAUAGAGCUUCAGGGUUUUUCUCAUCUCUGCAACCAAGAACCAAAUCUCAUGUCUAGACUAAUGUGAGUAGCAGAAUCAAGACAGUCUCUUUCCUGUACUUUAUUGUUCAUGUUUUCACUUAAUUCACGAAUUGAUCCCAAUUGUUGUGGUAAUGUUUAAAUUAACCUUGUGAUAUUUACCACAGCAUUUCUUGAGUUCAAAUUUGAAUUUAUGAAUCUGUUGAUGUAAAGUAUAUUUUGCUUUAUUACAUUACAAAAUGUACCAUUGCACAUUAAAACACAUUUCACCAGAAAA